rnacentral:rRNA from 1 species
CGGCAACAGCUCAAAUUUGAAAUCUGGCUCUUCUAGGGUCCGAGUUGUAAUUUGUAGAAGAUGCUUCGGGUGUGGCUCCGGUCUAAGUUCCUUGGAACAGGACGUCAUAGAGGGUGAGAAUCCCGUACAUGGCUGCAGGCUUGCUUCUAUGUGAAACUCCUUCGA